UUCACAAGGAGCUGUCAUUCAU
rnacentral:miRNA from 1 species